rnacentral:RNase_MRP_RNA from 1 species
CGAGUCUUCUAUGCUUGUCUUUCGGGGUUACAUACGAGUUCUUAGUAACUCUUGUUGAUGCCCUGGGAAAAGUCCCCGGGUCCAGGAUAGAAAGUAUCAAGGCGUAAAAAGUAUUUAUUUAAAAUGCUCAAAAGACUCUCGUUCGAUAGUUUGCUGUGCAAUUUUAAUUAAUAUUCGCCUAUAUUCCAUGGAAAUUCUCUUAGCAUGAAAUCAAUGAAGAGUCAAAUGAGGAGUUUGACGAAUUGGUGCUAGGUGUCCAUGGAAACGUGCCAGAUAAAAUUCUUAGUAAUAGACAACGAAAUGCGUGUCGAUUUCUCUUAGAAACCGGCAUUGUGUUUACAUAAUGGGGCUUACAUUGGGAGAUUC